ACCACAUCUGCCAUAUCAAAGUGAUUAUCUGGCAGAUAUAUAGCAGUUAAAUCCCACGCCUUCCGGUCUUUGUCUCUUUCCGGCGCUGUGACGUCACACAAGCCAAACAUCCUGUUCAUUCGGCAUUGUGUGCUAUUGUUCCAAUCUGUUGUUCCCGUCCUCGUAUAUUUGUUGUCGUAUGGUUUAACGAUGUCACGAUGGUUUAUUGUGUGGCAUUUGGCUGUACAAAUGGUUCAGGCAGCGGCAAGAGUUUUUUGUUUUUUUGGCUUUCCAAGUGAAUAAGGAAUACGUGACCAGUGGAUGGCGAAAGUCACUCGACAGGGGAAGAAACAUGUUCAGCUAUGGGUGCCUAGGAAGCAUUCCAAACUCUGUGCCGAUCACUUCGAACCGGUGUAUUUUGAGAAAGCAUUGGAUACACAGGUGUAGUUAGGCAGAGGUUGAAACCAGCUGUGGUGCCAACUAUUUUUUCAACGGCCAUUGAGACCUCCACCGCCAGCAAGAGAACUAAAUCUCGCAGCAGCGGAGCGGCGCAGACAAAAGGGAUCAAAAAUGCCUGAUCUCCAUAGGAGUCUGUCUUGUUCUGGAAAAGACCCCGCAGAUAUCAGUCAGAUUCGCAGAUAAGGUUCUUCAUGGGUGGAGGAGGGGCCCUUCGCAUCUUAGUGGACGGUGGUUUCAGGCGAGGGGGGAUUGGAGGAAGAUCUUGGCGUGGUGUGGGUUGGAUUCCAAUACAAUCCAAUUACAAUCGCCUUCAUCCUGUCCGUCACACCGAGCAGAGAAUUUAGGCUAGUAGAGAGUGACUUUUGCGUUGUGCUUUGCUCCAAUGGGGCAGGGAGGGGUGUGGGAGAUUCAAUGUGCUGGCUCAUCUCAUUUGUCAUUCGCUUCUCCGAUUGUUUGGAUGACCCUGAUGAGUCCAUCUGCGCCUCGUGUCGCCUUAUCUCCUGUUCCUCCGAUUGUUUGGGAACAACUGCAUCGUUUAGUCCUUCAGCCUUGUCACCAAGGCCAGUGUUUUGUUUUCGGGCCGCUGAAUGAUGUACAAAGUAAAAAAUGUUGGGAGCUAAUAACUUAACCCCUUGUCUAUUUAGACAGAAACUGUCUGCCUUCUAAAGAUGUCUGCACUCCCAAACAAUCCAGAAAUUUUCAAUGAAACUCACGGAUAGUGCCGUACUCACUUCUUUGAGCCACUUAUUUAAUUGACUGAGUCUAGAGAAACGCUGCAAUAAUUUGAUAUGCUCACAAUUCAGACCUUCUGACAGAGCACUAAGUGGAGGAAAGCAUUUCUUUCUCCUGUCACUUAAUUAUUUUUUCACGAGGCACAUUUUGUUACUGAUUUAGUUGUAAAUAGUUUCUUUGAAUAUCUAAAAAAAAACUAUAUAAAACCAAUUUAUCAUUAUUAUUAGUAGUAAUCAUAGUAGUUGUCAAGGACCGUUGUAUCCAUGGGUGAUGUGGGUGAACAACACCCACACCCAAUAGUGUUGCAGGCUGUUUCAAAUAUUAGAUUGUGUAUAUCCCGUGGGGCACUACAAAUGGACGUCAAUUGGCCGCCGUUUGGACAUCCCUGUGUUAAAGUGAAACACUUUACACAUCUACAAAAACUGUGGAUUUCCAACUGAAACAUGGCAUACGCUCAAAUCCAGAAAACAUCGUAAGCACAAGAAUAUCUAGACGUAUGAAUCUGUGCGUACGCAUGAAUCCAAGUACAUUUCCUUCGUACAUCCCAAUUGACAUAGAAUUGAGCGCAUGUUUGAGUAACUGACCACAUUUAAAUAUAUGCAAAUCAUAUUUAAAUUGACCCUGCACCUGAGAUCCCAAUCUCUGCACGAUCAGAAAAAAAAGAAAAGUGCAAGGCAGUAAAUAAAGAGAAUUUUUCUGAAUAUGAAGUUGAGACGAUGUUCAAUGAAUUGGAGGUGCGCAGGAAUAUCUUCUUUGACACACUGUCCUCCAGCGUUAACAACACGCGAAAGAGGAGUGAAUGGGACAGCGUGUGUGGCUGUCAAUGCUGUGGGGUCACAACAGCACACACACACUGAACUAAAAAAGAAGUGGUCAGACAUAAAGGUGGAUGUGAAGCGGAGGACAGCUGCCCACCUCCAAACUGUGGCCAAAACAGGCUGAAGAACCAGCACGGAGUGUGUCACCCCGUUCGAGGAGAGAAUCAUUGCAAUCAUGGGUGACACGACUCUCACGUGGCUGACUCCGAUUACCCCCAAGGAGAGGACACGCAAUCGUGCUACCUGUUCGGGGGAUCAGUACACCGUCCCCGGUGUCUCUAGUGUCACAGAUGCGGAGGAUUCGUCCAACGUUCCUGCCGUCUCCUCCGGCAUCCCCAGCGUCUCUGACGCAAUUACACUCCAACAACCGGCUGCUGUUCUCCGCCCGACUGGCCGUGUCCUCACCAGUGCACACGGAAAAAUUUGAUUAAUUUAAUUUGAACAUGAACGGACAUGAUUAAAAUGUGUUAAAAUGACCCCACACAUUUACCCCACUUCUAAACAAAUCUGUCAUUUUACCACAUUUGCAACCAAUGUACGAGUUCAAAUUAAGUAAAUUCAAAGGACUAUUUUUUUCAGUACAUGUGCUGGUGUCACAAGAAGAGAUUGUGAGGGCAAUAUAGGGGGCAUAAAUGAUCACCUUGAUCAA